rnacentral:tRNA from 1 species
AGAAAAGUAAGCUAAUCAAGCUAAUGGGUUCAUACCCCAUUAAUAGAGUGUAAACUCUCUUCUCUA